UGGAGUAAUUCUAAUGCCUUUUCUCUCAUAAUAUGCAAGGUUUACAUCAAGUGGGAGAAUACCGGCAGAUGGAAUUCUCGACCUGAAAAAGCUACGUCACACGUACCUAUUCUGCACAUCUCCAAUUGGGCUGAAAAUUUAUGGAUAUUUAUUUUACAAUAAAUAAAAAAUAUGGAGCAAAAAAAGUGCCGGAGGGGGGCUACGAGGUGCCCAUUAGACACGAGGGUAUGUGAGCC
rnacentral:lncRNA from 1 species